GUAAACCUCAAACCUAGAGUGAAGCCAACCAUAAUAAAGAUAAAAUCAAAGAAAAUGUCCAGGGAGUUUCUAACUCAUUCUGAGUUUAAUCCUCCUACAGAUGCUUAUUGUGGAGCUGAAUCAACAUCUAAAAAUUUUUCCCAUUUGGAACAAAACCAAGUUCCAGAAACAGGUAAUGGGCCUGAUAGAUUCAGUCAGAAUUUGCAUUGGGGUGUAC
rnacentral:misc_RNA from 1 species